CCAACUAAAUCGUGGUUCUAUCGAGGCCAACAAGCGGGGCCAACAACCGGGCGGAAUAUGCUAAACUAGUGACGACUGCUGAUUGGUCAGAGAGAAUCGUCACAAUUCUCGCGCGACUUAAUCCCUAGUGUCGCAUAUAUUAAGGGACGCUUGCAGCAUUUUUGUAAACCUAAGAAAAUGGUAAAGAAAAGCAUACCGUGGUCGAUUGACAAAGUUGCGACGUUCCUCCAGCUGAUUGCAGAUGAUAAAAUCCAGCGGGAGCUCGACGGCACAACUCGCAACCUAAACGUUUUUCAGGAGGUCUCUGCACUGUUGUCCGAACGCGGAUUCUCAAGGACUUUCCAGCAGUGUAGGGAAAAACUGAAAAAGCUUAAGAGUGAGUAUCGAGCCGUGAAGGACCACAACGGCCGGAGUGGUUCAGAUAGGAAAAGCUGGAAGUGGUUCGACCUGUUGGACACUAUUUAUGGCCAUAGACCGGCCAACGUUGGGAGGGAGGGAGGCCUGGACUCUGCAACCGCGUUACUGGAGUCCCUGCAUGAUGAUGCCAUUGGGACUAGUGAGGAGGAACAGUCCCGAACAACGGGUGGUGGCAGUGUCCGUCCUCAACAUCAUCAGAACGGACCUCAACUCGACCACAGACACCAGCCGAGGAACCGACACCAACGCCGAGUGCCAUCACGACACCGCAGCGUGUGGUUCUAGGCAAGAGGAAACGAGGAGGAGACGAGCACCUAGCACAGCAGGAACGGCACCAUGAACAGAGACUGGCCCAGGUGGAUCGGCACUGGCAGCUGACCAUGGAGGCUGCUGCCCGGGUGAGGGAGGAGGAAAUGGCCUUGAGAAGGGAGGAGAACGCUCAAACUCAUGCGUUUAACCUAGCCUUCCUGCACACUCUCGGCCAGGUUCUAGGGGGCAGCCGACGUGGCCCGUCUCCUCAGGAAGACAAACCACCUCUGUAAUUUUAAUAUUAUUCAGUUUCAUCUCUCUUGUUGUUGUUCAUUUGUAAAUGCAACAUUUGUACUUUCUUGUUUAUUUCUUAUCUUUCCUUUUUUUUUUUUUAUAUAAUGCCAUAUAUUUUUAUGCUGCUGCAAUACAAACAUUUUUUUAUUUUGUAUUUGUACAAUGCCAUGCCUUUUUAUGUUGCAACAAAAAACACUUCCCAAAUUGGGAUUCAAUAAAGUACUUCUCAUCUUAUCUCUUGUUGAUAAAUGCAUCAUCUUAUUUCCUGCCAUAAUCUGAUUAACAAACUGAUUUUCGUGAGCAUGUAAACAAAGUCACUGGGUUGCCACUCACACACAAAAUUACAGUUUUGGAAUCCAAUCAUAAACUCAAAUGUACAAUUAAAGGGCUUUAAAUCAGCAGAACAAAAACUCAGAUUCACAUGAGGCAGAAGUUAUAGGCCUAUAUUUUUCCUAAAUAAAAAUAGGCUACAACUAAUACCAUUACUAAUCAUAUUUGUGGAUCUUUAAAAAACAAAAGCCUACAAUAUCACUCAAAAACAAUUGUAAAAAUAGCCCAAUUAAGAUCUAGAGAUAUGAACAUACAUGAAUUUAUAAAGCAAUAAGAAACACCAUCCGUUAGGAAAAAGCUCAUAAGAUAAAAGUUAAUUUUAAGAAGAGGUUUAAAGCAAGAAAUUGAGUUUGCUUGCUUGAGGUCCUCCUCUAAAACAUUAUUUGGUAACUGACACAUUACUUAAAGUAAAAAUAUUUACUUUUACAAAUAAACUGGAAGGGGGUAUUUAGAAAAAAACAGAAAGAGAAGGGGGAUAAGAGAUCAUUUGUAUUUAUGUUUACUUUCAUAUUUGCUCAAAUGUUCUUAUUGUGGGGAAGUACUUACUGGUGCUUGAAAAUCAAAUAUUUACUAAAUAGUCAAUUCUGAUAACAUUUUUUUGUUUAAAUCAUUUGACAAACACAUAUGUGAAAGAGAAAAAAAGAUUUAUUUAUGUUCAAUACAAUGUAGUAAUAAUAAAAACAAAACAAAAUGUCACUAGCCUUAAUGGCCCACAAUCUUUCAAUGUCGUGUUUAUAAUUACAAACACAAGAAAUGUAUAUCACUGAACCAUGAUGUUAUGAACCAAAACAUUCAAGUUUCCUGUAUACAAUGAAUAUUUAGCUAUUCAGGUAGCGCAUCAAACCCUCUCGUAUUUCAGUGCUCUCCUCCUCUGCACCUUGUGCCACUGCUACCCCAGGCUCUGCUACUGCUGGUGCAUCCCACCCAUCAUCAUAGGCCUCUCCAUGACUCUCGCAGAGGUUAUGUAGAGCACAGCAUGUCAGCACCAUUGAUUUAACAAGUUUCACAUCACAGUCAUUUCUUUUCAUGAGGCAACGCCACCUUCCCUUCAGUCUACCAAAAGCGUUUUCUACCACUACCCGUGCUCUGCAAAUUCUCUUGUUGUAGAUCACAUGUUCUGCUGUCAGCUGUCCAUUGUCAGGGAACGUUUUUAUGAGCCAGUUUGGCAAGGGAUAGGCAUUGUCUCCCAGGAUGUAAUAGCCAGCAUUCACCCCACCAAUGUUCCUGGUGCAAGGUGGAAAGUAGUUGCCACGACUGGCUAACUUCCACAAUGAGGAUAGCCUCAAAACUUGAGCGUCAUGCAAGCUCCCAGGCAUUCCUGCAAACACAUUCCAGAAAUGUCCCUUUCCAUCUACAACUCAUUGAAGGGUGAUGGAGUGCCAGCCUUUACGGUUGAAAUAGUCGCAGUGGUAUUCCUGUGGUGCCAAGAUGGGUAUGUGUGAUCCAUCAAUAGCACCUACACACUGAGGGAGCCCCCACCUGUUCUCAGUGUAGGCAGCCAUUUCGGCAAACUGCUCCCGGUCUGGUGAACGAAUUAGUUCCAGUACUAACAACGUCUCUGCAGCAGCACAGAAGUCUUGCACACACCGACACACAGUUGUGUUGCUCACUCCGAAAAGAUGUCCAAUGCUUCUGUACUCUGAGCCGGUCGCAAGCUUCCACAGUGCGAUGGCCACCCUCUUCUUUAGAGGUAUACACUCGCGGAAUGGUGUGUCCUGUCUCUCCAUCGCUGGCCGCAGUUUGUUGCACAGGUAGACGUAGGUUUCCUCAGACAUCCUGAAGUUCUUCACCCACUGAGUGUGUGUGAAAGAUGGAACAAUCACACCCCACCACUCGGUUGCUCGGUCAAGCAUCCAAACACAUGGUCUGCGGUGGCAACCUAACUUCUGAAAUACACAAACAAAAGCAUACAUAUUUUAAUACGUAAAAGUGGUAGCUACAAUUUAUUAAAUACUUGAAACACUUUUGUCAUAUAAUGAGCGUGAAACACUUUGGUCGUAUAGUGAGCGUGAAACACAUUGCUAGUUAGCGAACGUUAGCUUACCGAGUAGCGUUGUCGUUGAGUCGUCCUGGAAUAGUCUCUGCCGCGUUGUACGAUUGCCAUAAGUCUCCCCUCAGCUUCUUCUGUAUUACGUCGUGCUAUAAGCAGCCUUUUCCGAAACAAAGUUUUCCUUCUUGCUGUGAUAAAAAACCACAUACCAAGAAGCAAGGACACGAUGGCUUCCACAUCCUCCAUUGUUGUUGUGUGUUUUGUGAGUUGUGUCGCAUUGAAGAUGACGUCACGGCAGUUGUAUGCAGCGUCGCUCCGCCCGCCAAAAAGCUGAUCGCCCCGCCUACACUGCGUUACUAUAGUAACUACCCCAGUUCCUAAACUGUAAUGGAAGCGCAGCAUUAAAGUGAGCCGGGCCUAAUAAGGCCAAACCAAA